AUUGAACGCUGGCGGCAGGCCUAACACAUGCAAGUCGAACGGUAACAGGAAGAAGCUUGCUUCUUUGCUGACGAGUGGCGGACGGGUGAGUAAUGUCUGGGAAACUGCCUGAUGGAGGGGGAUAACUACUGGAAACGGUAGCUAAUACCGCAUAACGUCGCAGGACCAAAGAGGGGGACCUUCGGGCCUUUUGCCAUCGGAUGUGCCCAGAUGGGAUUAGCUAGUAGGUGGGGUAACGGCUCACCUAGGCGACGAUCCCUAGCUGGUCUGAGAGGAUGACCAGCCACACUGGAACUGAGACACGGUCCAGACUCCUACGGGAGGCAGCAGUGGGGAAUAUUGCACAAUGGGCGCAAGCCUGAUGCAGCCAUGCCGCGUGUAUGAAGAAGGCCUUCGGGUUGUAAAGUACUUUCAGCGGGGAGGAAGGGAGUAAAGUUAAUACCUUUGCUCAUUGACGUUACCCGCAGAAGAAGCACCGGCUAACUCCGUG
rnacentral:rRNA from 1 species